UACAGAGGUCUCAAGCGUUGUUCGGAUUCAUUGGGCGUAAAGGGCGCGUAGGCGGGAUGGCAAGUCAGUCGUGAAAUCUCUCGGCUCAACCGAGAAACGUCGGCUGAUACUGCCGUUCUUGAGGGAUGCAGAGGAGACUGGAAUUCCCGGUGUAGCGGUGAAAUGUGUAGAGAUCGGGAGGAACACCGGUGGCGAAGGCGGGUCUCUGGGCAUCUCCUGACGCUGAGGCGCGAAAGCGUGGGGAGCAAACGGG
rnacentral:rRNA from 1 species